GACGAACGCUGGCGGCGUGCUUAACACAUGCAAGUCGAACGAAGUGGCGAACGGGUGAGUAACGCGUAAUCAACCUGCCCUUCAGAGGGGGACAACAGUUGGAAACGACUGCUAAUACCGCAUACUGAAGGCGGGGAUUGCGUCUGCUUAGCUAGUUGGAGGGGUAACGGCCCACCAAGGCGAUGAUCAGUAGCCGGUCUUAGAGGAGGAACGGCCCAAGUGGGACUGAGAAACGGCCCAGACUCCUAGUGGAGGCAGCAGUGGGGAAUCUGCCGCAAUGGAAGAAAGGCUGACGGAGCAACGCCGCGUGAGUGAUGACGGCCGUCGGGUUGGAAAGCUCUGUUAAUCGGGACGCGGUACCGGAAUAGAAAGCCACGGCUAACUACGUGCCAGCAGCCGCGGUAAUAC
rnacentral:rRNA from 1 species